rnacentral:rRNA from 1 species
UACGUAGGGUGAAAGCGUUAAUCGGAAUUACUGGGCGUAAAGCGUGCGCAGGCGGCUAUGCAAGACAGAUGUGAAAUCCCCGGGCUCAACCUGGGAACUGCAUUUGUGACUGCAUGGCUAGAGUACGGUAGAGGGGGAUGGAAUUCCGCGUGUAGCAGUGAAAUGCGUAGAUAUGCGGAGGAACACCGAUGGCGAAGGCAAUCCCCUGGACCUGUACUGACGCUCAUGCACGAAAGCGUGGGGAGCAAACAG